GCGCUCGUAGCUCAGUUGGACAGAGCGCCGGACUACGAAUCCGAAGGCCGCAGGUUCGAAUCCUGCCGGGCGCGCCA
rnacentral:tRNA from 1 species